ACGGAAGGCAGCAGUGGGGAAUAUUGGGCAAUGGGCGCAAGCCUGACCCAGCAAUGCCGCGUGAGGGAAGAAGGUUUUCGGAUUGUAAACCUCUGUCAACAGGGACGAUAAUGACUGUACCUGUGAAGGAAGCUCCGGCUAACUACGUGCCAGCAGCCGCGGUAAUACGUAGGGAGCAAGCGUUAUCCGGAAUUACUGGGUGUAAAGGGAGUGUAGGCGGGACUGUAAGUCAGAUGUGAAAUAUGCCGGCUCAACUGGCAGACUGCAUUUGAAACUGCGGUUCUUGAGUGAAGUAGAGGUAAGCGGAAUUCCUAGUGUAGCGGUGAAAUGCGUAGAUAUUAGGAGGAACAUCAGUGGCGAAGGCGGCUUACUGGGCUUUAACUGACGCUGAGGCUCGAAAGCGUGGGGAGCAAACAGGAUUAGAUACCCUGGUA
rnacentral:rRNA from 1 species